ACCUUUCUUUCUUCGUGGGAAUGUAUUUCCUGGGCUUUGGCAAUCUGGCCCCUAAAAAGACUAAGUGAGCUCUUCCAACAGGGGCAGACUGAAGCAGGCGAUGCCAGAAAGAACUGGAGUUUCUGGAGAACAAAAGCUGGAAGCGUGCCCCCAAAAAUCCCCCCGGGUGCUCAGUGGGCUGACUCGCACGGCCCGGGGGCCUUGGCCAGGAGCGGUCCUGCGGGAAGCGCCUUUGCCCGGGCUGUAAUUUUAAUUUCCAUUGGGUGCUGGCAAAGCCCCUCUGGGUGAGCCCCAGUGGCUGGCAUGAGCGGAGCGGGCUUCCAGGGCACUCAUUGCAGGCGUUGUGUUUAAGGGAAGAGCAGGGGAGCCUUUCUCUGGCCCAGAGGAGCUGCAUUGUUUCCCACUCUGGAAUAAUAAAAA